rnacentral:rRNA from 1 species
UGNNAGUCGACGGCAGCACGGGGGCAACCCUGGUGGCGAGUGGCGAACGGGUGAGUAAUAUAUCGGAACGUACCCUAGAGUGGGGGAUAACGUAGCGAAAGUUACGCUAAUACCGCAUACGAUCUACGGAUGAAAGCAGGGGACCGCAAGGCCUUGCGCUCAUGGAGCGGCCGAUAUCUGAUUAGCUAGUUGGUAGGGUAAAAGCCUACCAAGGCAUCGAUCAGUAGCUGGUCUGAGAGGACGACCAGCCACACUGGGACUGAGACACGGCCCAGACUCCUACGGGAGGCAGCAGUGGGGAAUUUUGGACAAUGGGCGAAAGCCUGAUCCAGCAAUGCCGCGUGUGUGAAGAAGGCCUUCGGGUUGUAAAGCACUUUUGGCGGGAACGAAACGGUUCGAUCUAAUACAUUGGACUAAUGACGGUACCCGCAGAAUAAGCACCGGCUAACUACGUGCCAGCAGCCGCGGUAAUACGUAGGGUGCAAGCGUUAAUCGGAAUUACUGGGCGUAAAGCGUGCGCAGGCGGUUAUGUAAGACAGAUGUGAAAUGCCCGGGCUCAACCUGGGAACUGCAUUUGUGACUGCAUGGCUAGAGUUUGGCAGAGGGGGGUAGAAUUCCACGUGUAGCAGUGAAAUGCGUAGAUAUGUGGAGGAAUACCGAUGGCGAAGGCAGCCCCCUGGGUCAAGACUGACGCUCAUGCACGAAAGCGUGGGGAGCAAACAGGAUUAGAUACCCUGNUAGUCCACGCCCUAAACGAUGUCUACUAGUUGUCGGGUCUUAAUUGACUUGGUAACGCAGCUAACGCGUGAAGUAGACCGCCUGGGGAGUACGGUCGCNAGAUUAAAACUCAAAGGAAUUGACGGGGACCCGCACAAGCGGUGGAUGAUGUGGAUUAAUUCGAUGCAACGCGAAAAANCNUUACCUACCCUUGAC